rnacentral:rRNA from 1 species
UACAGAGGUGGCAAGCGUUGUUCGGAAUUACUGGGCGUAAAGGGCGCGUAGGCGGCUUGGUAAGUCCCGUGUGAAAUCCCUCGGCUCAACCGAGGAACUGCACGGGAAACUGCCUGGCUUGAGUUCGGGAGAGGGAAGCGGAAUUCCGGGUGUAGCGGUGAAAUGCGUAGAUAUCCGGAGGAACACCGGUGGCGAAGGCGGCUUCCUGGACCGACACUGACGCUGAGGCGCGAAAGCUAGGGGAGCAAACGGG